AUGCAAGAAUCUGCUACUCACCUCCUAUCCCAAUGUAGGUUCACUGUCCGGAUUUGGACUGAAAUUUGCACUUGGCUUCGCAUCCUUGACUCAUCACCAAUAAUUUGGCGUCGUGAAGACUCAGUUAAAGAUUGGUGGCUUAAGGCGGUUAGUGGGGGAGGUGACCACAGGAAGGCCACCGCCUCCUUGAUGAUGCUUGUCUCAUGGGAAAUUUGGAAGGAGCGCGAUGCAAGAAUUUUUCAGAAUGUCUCCGCUCCGACCUCUAUUGUUAUUGCGAAAAUCAAGGAGGAGGCUCAUCUUUGGACUUUGGCAGGAGCGAAGCAGCUUAGUAUUGUUAUGUCGCGAGAGUAG
rnacentral:rRNA from 1 species